rnacentral:rRNA from 1 species
UACCAGCACCCCGAGUGGUCGGGACGAUUAUUGGGCCUAAAGCAUCCGUAGCCGGUCAUGCAAGUCCUCCGGUUAAAUCCACCUGCUUAACAGAUGGGCUGCGGAGGAUACUACAAGGCUAGGAGGCGGAAGAGGCAAGCGGUACUCAGUGGGUAGGGGUAAAAUCCUCUGAUCCAUUGAAGACCACCAGUGGCGAAGGCGGCUUGCCAAUACGCGCUCGACGGUGAGGGAUGAAAGCUGGGGGAG